GCGGGAGUAGCUCAGCUGGUAGAGCGCCAGUUUGCCAUACUGGAGGUCGCGGGUUCAAAUCCCGUUUCCCGCUCCA
rnacentral:tRNA from 1 species